GGGUUGUGAGGUUAAGCGACUAAGCGUACACGGUGGAUGCCCUGGCAGUCAGAGGCGAUGAAGGACGUGCUAAUCUGCGAUAAGCGUCGGUAAGGUGAUAUGAACCGUUAUAACCGGCGAUUUCCGAAUGGGGAAACCCAGUGUGUUUCGACACACUAUCAUUAACUGAAUCCAUAGGUUAAUGAGGCGAACCGGGGGAACUGAAACAUCUAAGUACCCCGAGGAAAAGAAAUCAACCGAGAUUCCCCCAGUAGCGGCGAGCGAACGGGGAGCAGCCCAGAGCCUGAAUCAGUGUGUGUGUUAGUGGAAGCGUCUGGAAAGGCGCGCGAUACAGGGUGACAGCCCCGUACACAAAAAUGCACAUGCUGUGAGCUCGAUGAGUAGGGCGGGACACGUGGUAUCCUGUCUGAAUAUGGGGGGACCAUCCUCCAAGGCUAAAUACUCCUGACUGACCGAUAGUGAACCAGUACCGUGAGGGAAAGGCGAAAAGAACCCCGGCGAGGGGAGUGAAAAAGAACCUGAAACCGUGUACGUACAAGCAGUGGGAGCACGCUUAGGCGUGUGACUGCGUACCUUUUGUAUAAUGGGUCAGCGACUUAUAUUCUGUAGCAAGGUUAACCGAAUAGGGGAGCCGAAGGGAAACCGAGUCUUAACUGGGCGUUAAGUUGCAGGGUAUAGACCCGAAACCCGGUGAUCUAGCCAUGGGCAGGUUGAAGGUUGGGUAACACUAACUGGAGGACCGAACCGACUAAUGUUGAAAAAUUAGCGGAUGACUUGUGGCUGGGGGUGAAAGGCCAAUCAAACCGGGAGAUAGCUGGUUCUCCCCGAAAGCUAUUUAGGUAGCGCCUCGUGAAUUCAUCUCCGGGGGUAGAGCACUGUUUCGGCAAGGGGGUCAUCCCGACUUACCAACCCGAUGCAAACUGCGAAUACCGGAGAAUGUUAUCACGGGAGACACACGGCGGGUGCUAACGUCCGUCGUGAAGAGGGAAACAACCCAGACCGCCAGCUAAGGUCCCAAAGUCAUGGUUAAGUGGGAAACGAUGUGGGAAGGCCCAGACAGCCAGGAUGUUGGCUUAGAAGCAGCCAUCAUUUAAAGAAAGCGUAAUAGCUCACUGGUCGAGUCGGCCUGCGCGGAAGAUGUAACGGGGCUAAACCAUGCACCGAAGCUGCGGCAGCGACGCUUAUGCGUUGUUGGGUAGGGGAGCGUUCUGUAAGCCUGCGAAGGUGUGCUGUGAGGCAUGCUGGAGGUAUCAGAAGUGCGAAUGCUGACAUAAGUAACGAUAAAGCGGGUGAAAAGCCCGCUCGCCGGAAGACCAAGGGUUCCUGUCCAACGUUAAUCGGGGCAGGGUGAGUCGACCCCUAAGGCGAGGCCGAAAGGCGUAGUCGAUGGGAAACAGGUUAAUAUUCCUGUACUUGGUGUUACUGCGAAGGGGGGACGGAGAAGGCUAUGUUGGCCGGGCGACGGUUGUCCCGGUUUAAGCGUGUAGGCUGGUUUUCCAGGCAAAUCCGGAAAAUCAAGGCUGAGGCGUGAUGACGAGGCACUACGGUGCUGAAGCAACAAAUGCCCUGCUUCCAGGAAAAGCCUCUAAGCAUCAGGUAACAUCAAAUCGUACCCCAAACCGACACAGGUGGUCAGGUAGAGAAUACCAAGGCGCUUGAGAGAACUCGGGUGAAGGAACUAGGCAAAAUGGUGCCGUAACUUCGGGAGAAGGCACGCUGAUAUGUAGGUGAAGUCCCUCGCGGAUGGAGCUGAAAUCAGUCGAAGAUACCAGCUGGCUGCAACUGUUUAUUAAAAACACAGCACUGUGCAAACACGAAAGUGGACGUAUACGGUGUGACGCCUGCCCGGUGCCGGAAGGUUAAUUGAUGGGGUUAGCCGCAAGGCGAAGCUCUUGAUCGAAGCCCCGGUAAACGGCGGCCGUAACUAUAACGGUCCUAAGGUAGCGAAAUUCCUUGUCGGGUAAGUUCCGACCUGCACGAAUGGCGUAAUGAUGGCCAGGCUGUCUCCACCCGAGACUCAGUGAAAUUGAACUCGCUGUGAAGAUGCAGUGUACCCGCGGCAAGACGGAAAGACCCCGUGAACCUUUACUAUAGCUUGACACUGAACAUUGAGCCUUGAUGUGUAGGAUAGGUGGGAGGCUUUGAAGUGUGGACGCCAGUCUGCAUGGAGCCGACCUUGAAAUACCACCCUUUAAUGUUUGAUGUUCUAACGUUGACCCGUAAUCCGGGUUGCGGACAGUGUCUGGUGGGUAGUUUGACUGGGGCGGUCUCCUCCUAAAGAGUAACGGAGGAGCACGAAGGUUGGCUAAUCCUGGUCGGACAUCAGGAGGUUAGUGCAAUGGCAUAAGCCAGCUUGACUGCGAGCGUGACGGCGCGAGCAGGUGCGAAAGCAGGUCAUAGUGAUCCGGUGGUUCUGAAUGGAAGGGCCAUCGCUCAACGGAUAAAAGGUACUCCGGGGAUAACAGGCUGAUACCGCCCAAGAGUUCAUAUCGACGGCGGUGUUUGGCACCUCGAUGUCGGCUCAUCACAUCCUGGGGCUGAAGUAGGUCCCAAGGGUAUGGCUGUUCGCCAUUUAAAGUGGUACGCGAGCUGGGUUUAGAACGUCGUGAGACAGUUCGGUCCCUAUCUGCCGUGGGCGCUGGAGAACUGAGGGGGGCUGCUCCUAGUACGAGAGGACCGGAGUGGACGCAUCACUGGUGUUCGGGUUGUCAUGCCAAUGGCACUGCCCGGUAGCUAAAUGCGGAAGAGAUAAGUGCUGAAAGCAUCUAAGCACGAAACUUGCCCCGAGAUGAGUUCUCCCUGACUCCUUGAGAGUCCUGAAGGAACGUUGAAGACGACGACGUUGAUAGGCCGGGUGUGUAAGCGCAGCGAUGCGUUGAGCUAACCGGUACUAAUGAACCGUGAGGCUUAACCUUACAACGCCGAAGGUGUUU
rnacentral:rRNA from 1 species